UUCUGCUGCUCCGCAUUUUCCCUUUGAGGGGUUUUUGCGCUGUGGCUUAUUUCGGACUGUGUUUUGCACUGUCCGGAUGUUUACUUUGAGAAAAUUAGAGUGCUCAAAGCAGGCUUUUGCCUUGAAUAGUUUAGCAUGGAAUAAUAAAGUAGGACUUUGGUUCUAUUUUGUUGGUUUUAGGUACCAAAGUAAUGGUUAAUAGGAACAGUUGGGGGCAUUCGUAUUUAACUGUCAGAGGUGAAAUUCUUAGAUUUGUUAAAGACGAACUACUGCGAAAGCAUUUGCCAAGGAUGUUUUCAUUAAUCAAGAACGAAAGUUAGGGGAUCGAAGACGAUCAGAUACCGUCGUAGUCCUAACCAUAAACUAUGCCGACUAGAGAUUGGAGGUCGUCAGUUUUUACGACUCCUUCAGCACCUUGAGAGAAAUCAAAGUCUUUGGGUUCUGGGGGGA
rnacentral:rRNA from 1 species